ensembl:lncRNA
AAGUCCCAUGUUUUUCACUUCACAUGUCUCAUAUUUAUAUAACAUAUAUCUGAUAUUUAUCUUGUUCAUCGAGGGGAGGAAACAGUCCUUCAUCGUUGUUUCUUCUCCUCUGUAGCCUCUUAAAUGAAAAGCUGGGGGGAAGUAAUCAGGAGGACUUGGAUGGAAUUGUCUGUCAUCCAUUCAACGCUCUGGACACAGGCGCUGAUUAUAAAAUGAAAGGAUCAAUAGUUUCGGACCUGCUGAUGCUGGAUGAAGCUGCCUGGAACAUUUGAAAUUCAAAGCUGGCCGUCGCUUCCAGACACAAAUACGCCACAGCAAGAGUAAGCCGCCCGGAAGCUGUCUGAUGAAAUUAUGAAAAGAAUAUUCAUAGGAGAAAAUGUGUCUACGAUUGUCACCCUGACUAACAAAGAAUAAACGAAACCAAAAACAUGUGAAUAAAAUAUCAGUUGAAGACGCAAACGGACAGAAAGAACAAGAAGCGAGAUGGUAAGGCGACGGCCGUUGUGGGGGAGCUAAUUACUUCUGUGGCUGAUGAUUUCCCAUCAUGGCCGCCUGAGGCCCACCGAGGACAGAAUUGACAACGAUGCGUCAUGUGGCACAUGGCUGAGCUGGUCGCCCUGAGAGCGAGCAGGGAGAGGACCUCUCCAAUGGAAGCCUGUCCCUCAAUUGCAUUGCCAGUGAAGCCGGGACACGGACACGCGUGUGAAUAUCCACCUAUCACACCACAAAAAUGUCUCUUUAAUCUUUAAUUCGCAGCAGGUUUGAAACCACCUGCACAAUGAGCAGCACGUGUCCCGUCCUUUAUGACGAGAGAGAAACCAUCGGGAGACACAUCCUGUCAUUUAAGA